rnacentral:tRNA from 1 species
CGGUAGCUCAGUGGUAGAGCGUCCGACUGUUAAUCGGAUGGUCGUAGGUUCGAAUCCUACCC